UACGUAGGGUGCAAGCGUUAAUCGGAAUUACUGGGCGUAAAGCGCACGUAGGCGGACUAUUAAGUCAGGGGUGAAAUCCCGGGGCUCAACCCCGGAACUGCCUUUGAUACUGGUAGUCUCGAGUCCGGAAGAGGUGAGUGGAAUUCCGAGUGUAGAGGUGAAAUUCGUAGAUAUUCGGAGGAACACCAGUGGCGAAGGCGGCUCACUGGUCCGGUACUGACGCUGAGGUGCGAAAGCGUGGGGAGCAAACAGG
rnacentral:rRNA from 1 species